UACGGAGGAUGCAAGCGUUAUCCGGAUUUAUUGGGUUUAAAGGGUGCGCAGGUUGUUUGAUAAGUCAGUGGUGAAAGUCUGUCGCUUAACGGUAGGACUGCCAUUGAUACUGUUAGACUUGAAUAUGGAUGAGGUAGGCGGAAUGUGUAGUGUAGCGGUGAAAUGCAUAGAUAUUACACAGAACACCGAUUGCGAAGGCAGCUUACUAAUCCAUCAUUGACGCUGAGGCACGAAAGCGUGGGGAUCAAACAGGA
rnacentral:rRNA from 1 species